CAGCAGCCACGGUAAUACAGAGGGUGCGAGCGUUAAUCGGAUUUACUGGGCGUAAAGCGUGCGUAGGCGGCUUCUUAAGUCGGAUGUGAAAUCCCUGAGCUUAACUUAGGAAUUGCAUUCGAUACUGGGAAGCUAGAGUAUGGGAGAGGAUGGUAGAAUUCCAGGUGUAGCGGUGAAAUGCGUAGAGAUCUGGAGGAAUACCGAUGGCGAAGGCAGCCAUCUGGCCUAAUACUGACGCUGAGGUACGAAAGCAUGGGGAGCAAACAGGAUUAGAGACCCCCGUAGUCCCUGUCUCUUAUAU
rnacentral:rRNA from 1 species